rnacentral:rRNA from 1 species
UACGAAGGGGGCUAGCGUUGCUCGGAAUGACUGGGCGUAAAGCGCGUGUAGGCGGCCAGGUAAGUCCGUUCUGAAAGCCCGGGGCUCAACCCCGGGAGGCGGAUGGAUACUGCUUGGCUCGAGUCCGGAAGAGGCGAGUGGAAUUCCCGGUGUAGCGGUGAAAUGCGCAGAUAUCGGGAGGAACACCAAUGGCGAAGGCAGCUCGCUGGGACGGUACUGACGCUGAGACGCGAAAGCGUGGGGAGCAAACAGG